UUGUGAUUUGUGGUCUGUCUGGUCGGAUGACCGCGUCACGUUGCUACUCGUUCUAUGAGUAGCGGUACAGGAAACACGACUACAAGAACCGUCGACGCGGCGUUCGUAGUAGGCGCCAGGGACCUCGGCGGCCUCCCUAGAACGUCUAGGGAAGAUUACUGAGGAACCGAGUGACAUAGGGUUCCACACCCCUACAGCUGUAGGGGAUAGGGAAGCCAUAUCCCGGGCCGACGAAGGCAGUUCCGAAGCUAGAGUGGACGUUGGUGAGGUCGCUCGUAGGGUCCGAAAAAAAUCCGUCGUCGUGAUAGGUCCAGUGACUAUAACUGUAUAUGAUGCCGUCACAAACCCGGGCAUAUUAGAAGUUGGAAUGUUGCUCCGAUCUAUGUCUAUGGAUGUUGGAUAGUACCCUCCGGGGAAGAUUUCCAUAAUGAUAGUCAGCAAUAUUAUGAGACAUGCAUGCAUCUAGGUGUCAGUGUGGAAUUGUUUAGUGUAUGUAAUCUGUAAGUAUUGGCAUAGAUUUGUACGGUAAUGGUCAUGUAGAAACAUAGGGGUUUUUAUUAGCAAGUUUAAUGUCCUCUUCCUGGUGCGGCUCCUCUACCGUCGCCUAGUUUGAUAACGUGGACUCCGACCCCGACCCUGACCACUACCUAGACGUCACCACGACCUAGUCUUCAACAAGCCACCGACCUACUAGUCGUAGCGGACCUGCUACUCCUCUUCGUCAUCGCGGACACUUGUCGCACCCGCCUCCUCUUCGUCCCUGACCUCGUGGACCCUCCACCUCAUCGCCUCCUAAACUUUAGUUCCGCCUCCUUCUGCUGCUACCCCUAAACUUAAAACUUUUCUCCCCAUCACUACAGUAAAGGACGCAAAAGUAGUCCAGCGCUCCAAAAAGGGUCGCUGUUACUUGAGUGACGGUCAUGAAGGACAGUCGGUGUUACCGUGUGAUUAUAACAACGUCCCAUGUUGCUUUGUCUUAAAUGAUAGACUUGAGCGUUAGAACUCUCGUAGAGGUCGGCAACCGGGGGGGCCCCCGCGGAUUUUAGCGGCGGACCCCCACUGGGCUGCGUUUUUCCCC
rnacentral:rRNA from 1 species